CGAGUUUGAUCAUGGCUCAGAACGAACGCUGGCGGCAUGCCUAACACAUGCAAGUCGAACGAUAAGCCACCUUCGGGUGGUGGACAGUGGCGCACGGGUGAGUAACACGUGGGGACCUGCCUGAUAGUACGGAAAAACAGUUGGAAACGACUGCUAAUACCGUAUACGCCCUUCGGGGGAAAGAUUUAUCGCUAUCAGAUGGACCCGCGCUAGAUUAGAUAGUUGGUGAGGUAAUGGCUCACCAAGUCGACGAUCUAUAGCUGGUUUGAGAAGAUGAUCAGCCACAUUGGGACUGAGACACGGCCCAGACUCCUACGGGAGGCAGCAGUGGGGAAUAUUGUACAAUGGGCGCAAGCCUGAUACAGCAAUGCCGCGUGAGUGAAGACGGCCUUAGGGUUGUAAAACUCUUUCGCCAGGGAAGAUAAUGACGGUACCUGGUAAAGAAGUCCCGGCUAACUCCGUG
rnacentral:rRNA from 1 species